AUUAGAAACUCCAUCAGAGGAGACAUGGAAGGGAGGAGGAAAAAGCAGCUAGGAACCACACCAACAAAAGAUGAAGGAUUACCACUGAUGGUAGGACAAGGAGGAGCCAACUUGAGAGAAAAGAUUCACCUGUUGGGAAGGUGCCAUGGAUAAAAAUACACAAAAGUUGACUUGGGCUACUCCUGACUGAAAGAUGUGGACCCUUGGGUCAGGAGAAAGUGCAGGUUACCAAGAAAUAGGAGAAGAACCCACUGCAUCAGGGUUUCUGGACUCACAUGCUCUCAUGUCACAAGGUGUCUUUGCUCCAAUAUGUGGGCUAGUUCUUGACUAACUCCUCUUGGCCCCUGAUCUAUGCUGCCCCCUGAAAGACGUUCCAGGUCCUGGAAGA